GCAAGUCGAGGGGUAACAUUGUAGCUUGCUACAGAUGACGACCGGCGCCCGGGUGCGUAACGCGUAUAGAACCUACCUUUUACAGGGGAAUAGCCCAGAGAAAUUUGGAUUAAUGCCCCAUGGUAUUAUUUAAUGGCAUCAUUUAAUAAUUAAACAUUUAUGGGUAAAAGAUGGCUAUGCGUUCUAUUAGCUAGAUGGUAAGGUAACGGCUUACCAUGGCAACGAUAGAUAGGGGCCCUGAGAGGGGGAUC
rnacentral:rRNA from 1 species